rnacentral:rRNA from 1 species
UUACUGUAAGAAUAAGCACCGGCUAAUUCCGUGCCAGCAGCCGCGGUAAUACGGAAGGUGCAAGCGUUAUCCGGUUUUAUUGGGUUUAAAGGGUGCGUAGGCGGCUUAUUAAGUCAGUUGUGAAAUCCUAGUGCUUAACGCUAGAACUGCAAUUGAUACUAUUAGGCUUGAGUUAAGAAUAGGUAAGUAGAAUUUAUGGUGUAGUAGUGAAAUGCUUAGAUAUCAUAAGGAAUACCAAUAGCGUAGGCAGCUUACUGGUCUUUAACUGACGCUGAGGCACGAAAGCGUGGGGAGCAAACAGGAUUAGAUACCCUGGUAGUCCACGCCGUAAACGAUGAUCACUCGGUAUACAUAAAUUUAUGUGUGUCUAAGCGAAAGCGUUAAGUGAUC